rnacentral:rRNA from 1 species
UACAGAGGUCUCAAGCGUUGUUCGGAUUCAUUGGGCGUAAAGGGUGCGUAGGCGGCGGGGCAAGUCUGAUGUGAAAUCCCGGGGCUCAACCCCGGAACUGCACUGGAUACUGCUCUGCUAGAGAUCUGGAGAGGAAACUGGAAUUUACGGUGUAGCAGUGAAAUGCGUAGAUAUCGUAAGGAAGACCAGUGGCGAAGGCGAGUUUCUGGACAGAUUCUGACGCUGAGGCACGAAGGCCAGGGGAGCAAACGGG